rnacentral:lncRNA from 1 species
CUGGUCUUUCUAGGCUUCUUGAACUGUCCGUUCGACAUAGUUGUACCUAAUCAUCCCACACUCACAGUUAUAGACAGAUAUGAACCAUACACAAGCGUAUUAUUCCAAACAACUUAUCAAAUAGUCCAAAUGGAACAUCCAAACAUAAUCUCGCUCAUAACACUAUCAAAUAGUCCAAACCACAAAUUAUUCCAACUUAUUACAAUUAUUGGCAAAUUACCUCUUCCAUUAUUCGAACUUAUUUCAAACAACCCAAACAAAUUAUUUCAAACAACUCAUCAAAUACUCAAGCACAACACUACCACACUCACAACCCUAAUAAAAUCAACGAAACCUCAAAACUAUUCCAGCUCAUGGUAAUUCUGAUAAUUAGUCCACAUUUCCUUCUUCAAGUCAUCACGCCACUUACUCCAAGACCGUGAUGCGGAUAUGAGUAUUCCACCGCCUUGCGCAUUAUCUGCCUCGGGGGGAACGGGUUCUUCGGGUUCCUCUAAAUCAGGUUCCACUACAUCAGCUGGAUCGAUAUCUUUGAGGAAGUUGUGAAUUGCACAACACGCCAAUAUUAUCUUUGUGUGUGUCUUCACAUCAUGGAAUGGUGCCUUCCUCAAAUAAGCGAAGCGUUUCUUCAACACCCCUAUGAUCCUCUCCACAACAUUACGUAGCCUGGAAUGCCGACAGUUGUACAGUUCUUCAUCAGUUUCAACAGCCCGAUGUCCUUGUUCUUUGAGAUGGUAUCGAACCCCACGAUAAGGUGUGAGGAAGCCGGGACUUAAUGCAAAGCCAGCAUCCGCAAGGUAAUACUUACCAGGGGGCAAGGUUAAUCUCCUACCUUCACGAGUAACCGCACAUCUCAACAACCGCCCAUCAUGCGCCGACCCUUCCCACCCAGCUAGAACGUAAGUGAAUCUCAUGUCGAACGUACAUCCAAUUAGAACAUUCUGGGAUAUCACUCCUUUCCGAUUACGAUACCUCGGUUGAUCAUCAAGGGGCACUAAGGUGGGGAAGUGGGUACCAUCGAUUGCGCCUACAGCGUCCUAAUUAACAAUUUACUUGGUCAGAAAAAUACGAAAGAGUUUUUCGUACCUAUAAGAAGAUGAUAAAAUACGAAAUAAUUUUUCGUACCUUGAAAUACUGAUGCCAAAAGACAUCCCCAGGACCGUCAUUGAGGGGUGAGUUCUCAGCCGUGGCGUUGACAACCACUUGCCUAUACAAUUUUAGACAAGCAUUCAAAACCAAGUGGAAGUAAUGGCUCACGGUUUGUCCAGAACGCCUAAACUCGUGACGUGUUCUUCUACACCGAUUGUCAUGGCCGACUAUGAGCAAGAACAUUGCAACUUGUUCUUCAACUGACACAUACCGAGAGUCGGAUAAACCCAAAGUCUUCAACCUAGCACAUAACCGAUGGAAUGCAAAACGCCUCAUCCUCAAUUGGUCAUGGCAAUCGUUGUCGUUAUCGGUGUAGAACCGGGCUAAGGUUCGCCCACGCGACGAAUCUCUAUUAUAGGUAUAGGGAGCCCUAGGACCUCUAGGAACACGUUCACGUCUCGUUCCAAUAUAGUGCAUUAACCAAUCGACAGCUACAAUUACAAUCGUAGCUGCAACGAUACGUUCAUCCUCGGUAGGCAUUCUACAGAACAUGUGGUAAGUUUAUUUGGUUAAUAAUUUUAAUUGUUAGUAGUGUAUGAAUGCGUAAGAGUGCUUUUUAAAUGAAAAAUUAUUAUAAAAACUGGUUAAUAAUUUACAUCAUCAAUUUCACUUUUUACAUAAAUCUCACAAGACAAAUAACAAUUUAAUUAACAAUGCAAUAACAACAACCAACAUAACCAACACCAACUUCUUGACCCACCACCAAAAGUCGUCCACCACAACAACAUUGUUUAAGGGCCGAUGACUGACUAGUGGAGAUAGAGGUGCUUGAGAUUGAGCGGCGGAUUGGUAAGAUUGACCAGAAUGUUCAGACGGUUCUGGCGCAGGAAUGUAAGACUGGGACAUAAGAUGAUUGGGAUCACACAUAAGGCCAGAAGGUUGAUAGAAACCAUUUGUAAGAUGUUGCUGAAGCAUAUGCCUUGCUUCAGCAAUGGUAUAAGCACCACGCCAGUCAGCGUUGCUAAAGCCGUCCGUCUGUGACUUGCACUCCUCCCAAGUUCUGUAGAUACCCGGACAGAACCCACGACGCACAACAUAAUAGGAAUAUUUACCCAUUCUCUGAAAAGUGGUAAUUAGAUGUUUUCAACAUAAUGAGUUUAUAUAUAUCAGCUUUCAAUUUAUUUUCAGCUUUCAAUUUAUUUAACUAUAUUUUCAGAUUUCAAUUUAACUAUUCUUUCAGAUUUCAAUUUUUAUUUAACUUUAGAUUUUGUUAACAUUAUGAGUUACCAUUACAUCAACUUAUUUCUUAUAAUAUAGUUCUCACAACUAAUCAAGUUACUAGUCUGUACUAUGUGUGUAAUUAAGAAAUAACUAAUACAAUCAUUAGUCUGUAUAUGCGUAGGAAUUAAUAUAAAGUCCUACGAUGUGUGUACAAACUAAUCAGGAUACUAGUAUGUACUAUUAUUUGUGUAAACAAUUAACAAUCUAUAGAUGACAAAAACAAUCUAUAUUAAAAAAAAUUCUUAAAGAAUUAUUAUAUGUUGAAACUUGAAAGCAUGAUUAUAUAAUAAAAACAAUCUAAACUCAAUUCAUAUACAUCACUUAAUUAUUAAAACAUGUCGGUAGAUACCUACUGCAUAUACAGAUACCUACUGCUGACAAAAACAUGUUUUCUAAUCUGCACUAAUACAUGGUAAAAGAAAUAACCAACCUUGAAAAGCAAAUGACGAGAGAAAGUAAAGACGAGUGAAGGGGAGAAAGCGAUGGACAAGAGAAAGCGAAGCUGCCAAAAAACAUUCAUAUAUCACUACUGCAUACAAUUUUUAGAACAAAUAAAAUAAUAAAAAAAAAACUCAAAUCAAAAUCAUACAUUUUUGAGCUGAUGUUUAAACGAUACUGGUCUGCAAAAGAUACUGGUCUGCAAAAGAAAAAUCCGUGCGACAAAAACACACAUAAACAUUCAUCAGAUAUUAUCAACAUAGAAUCUAGACAUUACAUACAAAUAUAGACAAACAAAAGAAUUUUUAGAAAGGUGCAAAAAUGUAGGAGGAUAUACCAGUAAGAAUCAUGAACAAUGUGAUACAGUAUAGGAACAACUACUACCAUGUUGCUACCAAACACUAUGUGCAAAUAUAACAAGAAAAAAAUCUGAGUACAAUUUAAACUUGCUCGGUUAUUCCAUUCUUUGCUGAAUAAGAAAUUAAGCAGGUAGAGAUAUACAUACAGUAACACUAUUAUAUUGGUCAUUGGUGUACGUAAGUGUAGUUGUAUCAAAAUCAAACCAUCAUUCUAGUAUAUAUUAUAGUAGCAGUAGCAGUAGCAGUAGUGGAUUAAAAUAUCUGACGAUUUAUCUAUCUAUCGCAGUACACGGGACAUUUCUGGGCAGUAAUGAACAUUUGUAUUACAUAUGAUGAAAAAAGAUGUUCUCUUGGAUUUUUAUAGUCUCCCUCAUUUGUGCUAAUGAGUCUGGCUGAUUUGUCUGUCAAUCAAUUCACACUGUAAUUUUUUUUCAGUACGUGCUCCUAAAGGUAAGUUGUUUUUUCGCACUUUUGAAUCACAUGUUGAUGUUCUUGUGGAGAGCAACAAUGCACCAAGCUGUCAGUGGUCUAGUAACUGUGCUCGUAAAUUAUUUAAAAGAUUUGUAUAGCCUUCCAAGGUGCUUUUUGCUACCAAUUUAGCUACACACCCCCUCAUUGCCAAUUCCUUUUUCAGUAUAAUUUCAAAUUUAACAUACACCAAUACAUAUAGCUGGAUUGCUACUGUUGAUGAUAAAUUUAGUAGCAAGACCAUCAAUAAUUCUAGUACUUAUUACUAACUACCUUUCACACCAAAACCUAGUUAUCUGCCUAAUCUGAUAAUUUAGGAACUUUAGUUGCAUUACCUCUCAUCAUCUGCAGAAUCCAAAUACAGUAAAUGUUAGGGUCCUGAUCCUGCAAAAAAAUGAAUGAAAUUUCUAAGUUAACAUCAUCAGAACAAAGAGCAUGUCUUGUAAAAGUGUUUAACCUGCCUUAUUGAAAGUAAUUCAAUCACUUCAAUUAUUGCAAAGACGCAAGCAAAUAUCUACCUGACUAACAUUAAUAUAUGUAUAUAUACUCUCAAGAGUCGAGAGUCAAGACUACUACUACAAUGCACACUACACAUUAACACACUCAAUGAUUCAACAACCAAUUACUCUUCCCUCCAACCAGUCAGUUCUAGAUUUCUAGCUCCCAUGUAUGUCAGUUUCUCCCUCAACAUCCCCGCUAUCCAGUAAAAAAUAAUAUGAUGAAUGAGCACAAUAAGACAGCACAACUACAUCAAAAAGAGCACGUGAAAACCACCAAUAUGAUAAACAGGAAAGACAACUUCCACAAUUUGGCCUAAUUUGAGUGUACUUAAGCACAUCAACGUUCAUAGCACUGUGGAAGAUGAUCACAACCAUUAAAAUAAUCUUCUGUUUAAAAUUCAAGGAUGGUUUCAAAUAAGACCAACCACAACUAAUCAAUGUCAGCAAGAUAGCAAAAGGAACUUCACUAAACAAAACUCCCCCGUAAGCUAAAGUGGUAACGAAAAAGCCUUGUGAGUAGCCAAAGUGUUUGAUGAAAAUAUUCCGAACUAGCCCAGUUAAAUGACUCAACACUUUGAUGAUCAAAACUACAAGUAUAGCAAUGUGAAUGCGCAAAAGUUGAUUCCCUUUCAGUUUGAUAUAAUAAACAUGAAUAUUCCAAAGCGAAAAGAAAAUCAAACACAUAUAAAUCAUUAAACACAAAGUGAAUCCUAGGAAGUAAAACCUUGGUCCCGGAUAAAUAAUUCCUCUUAUCAAAUUCAAGAUCAUACAUAGAGCUUUUUACAACCAUGGAAAACCGAAACUCCUUGUUAGAAAGAUAAUUAAUGAAAUAAAGACUGUAGAGUUCUUGUUGUUGUUUUUCUUCUUUAUCUUCAUUGGAGAAAACGAAAUCAAAGUUUUUGGUACCAUUGAUGAGUUUAUGAAAAGAGAAACCUGCUAUAGACUUUUCAAUAAUACUAUAAUCAUCAUAUCUAGUAAAGAGAAAGAAACCAACUGUAGAGAAAUUCAAGUUGAGAUUUGAAUUGGAAAGAUAGAUAUCAGAAACAUUAAUUUCUAUACGACCUCAUUUUCCUCCAUUAGUGAAUUGAAAAGAAUCAAUGAAUAAUAUACUUUAAACAGAAACAUUAUUGUUAAAUAUACUUUAAACAGAUAUCAAUUGAAAAGAAUCAAUGAAUAAUAGAUAUCAGAAACAUUAUUGUUAAAUAUAUUUGAAUUCAUAUCAUAUACACGAAUCUCUGCAAAUGUAAACGUGAAUUGCAUGCAAUUGGAGUGAUUUUAAACAGAAUCUAGGGUUAGGGUUAUAGUCGAUAAUGAUAUAUCAGAAAACCCCAAUCUAGGGUUAGGUUUUUCGAAAAAAAAUUCAAAAUUUUCGAUUCAAACAACAAGUAGAAAACAACAAGUAAAGAAAGAACAACAACAACAACCAAAUCAAACAAAGAAGAGAAGAAGAAGAUGAAGAAGAAGAAGAAGAAGAAGAAGAAGAAGAAAUCUGUUUGAAAAAUACUAACCUCAAAACUUCGAAAAAGUAUAAAGAAGAAGAAGAAGAUGAAUAAUAUGAAGAAGAUAAACAAGAAGAAGGAGAAAUAUACCUGUUUUAGGGUUCGAAAUCGGUGUCGCCAGGUUAAUCGCCUCUACUGCGCCGCCAUCACCUGUUCUAGGGUUUUUUCUUGUUUAAGCUUGGUUGUUUUUGGCAAAGAUGUAAUAUAUACUUGGCAAAUUGUAGAGGGUUAAGUGGCAAAGCAAAUUUUGCCUGGGGGGUACCCAAGCAAA